rnacentral:rRNA from 1 species
GACGAACGCUGGCGGCGGGCUUAACACAUGCAAGUCGAACGGAAAGGCCCUGCUUUUGUGCGGUGCUCGGGGGGCGAACGGGUGAGGAACACGUGAGUAACCUGCCCCUGAGUUUGGGAUAUCUUCAGGCAACUGGUGCUAUUACCGGGUAGGAGCACCCGCUGCUUGGUGGGCGUUGGACAGUUUCGGCGGUUGGGGAUGGACUGGCGGCUCAUCAGCUUGUUGGUGGGGUAGUGGAUUACCAAGGCUUGGACAGGUAGCCGGGCUGAGAGGGCGGGCGGACAAGUUAGGACGGGGAUGAGACCCGGACUAAUACGGGAGGCAGGGGAGGGGAGGGUUGCACAGUGGGCGGAAGCAUGGUGCAGCGACGCCGCGUGGGGGAUAAGGGGCUGCGGGUUGGAAAGCGAUUUCGUCUGAGACGAAGCGUGAGUGACGGUAACGGGUGAAGAAGCACCGGCUAACUACGUG